GCCCGCGCCUCUCCCGCCACACCUCCCUGCAAGCUGAGGGAGCCGGCUCCUGCCUUGGCCAGGCUAGAAAGGGGCUCCCACAGUGCAGGGGCGGGCUGAAGGGCUCCUCAAGUGCCACCAAAGUGGGAGCCCAGGCAGAGGAGGUGCCGAGAGCGAGCGAGGGCUGCGAGGACUGCCAGCAGCUGUCACCUCUCGUUACCAUCACUCCUAGUGACCAUUUCGGAUAAUCCACCUUGCCUCAUCAAACCAGAAAACAAUUCAAACCUGGCCUCCUUCUAACUGGAAGCCACAUUUUAAGAACUUAUUGUGAAGAACUGGAAAGCCUCCAAUAGAACAGAAGCUAAAAGCAGAAAUUAUAAAAGCUGUUACACCUACUCAGCUCUAUUACAUGUUGGAAAAACUGAACCAGAGAAACAAUUACAUACACUCUUGUCUUCUGGAAAAGCUGAAUUGGGUUUUGGUCUGAAUCAAUAGGACCCAUUAUACAGGCUGCCUUUCCAGCUCUCCAAUCAUACUUCCAAGAAAACUGCUCACUCUCAGAACCAAGGUUCAAGUUGUACAUUGGGAUUUGGGUAGAGCACGGGACCUGGCAUGGAGCAGCAUUCAAAAUAUUGGGUAGAAGGAAAAAGGAAGAAAGAAGGGAAGGACAGGGAAGCAAGGAAAUAAAGGAAAUCAGGCUAUAUAUACAGUGAUGCCCAUCUACCCCUGAGAUCUAAAAAUCUAAGAUGAAAACGAGCACACAGUCUUGGCAGCAUUGGGGUAACAGACUAUGAAAGAAGAAAUCAGAUUGGAAAAUUCAGUAUAUCAAUGAAGAAAAUAAUCACUCAAGGAGAGGAAUAAACAGCAAAACAAUCUAUAUAUUUAAUUAUAGAUACAAUUGUUUCAAUGCUGAUUAUUCAUCCUUAUAUAACUGUCUACAGCUAUUUAGGGUUGUCUUCAUCCAUUUUGUGUUGCCAUUGCAGAAUACGUGAAACUGGGUAAUUUGUAAAGAAAAGAGAUUUUUUAACUUAUGGGUUCUGCAGGAUGGGAAGUUCAAGAAACAUGACACCAGCAUCUGCUUGGUUUCUGUUGAGGACUUUCAUGCUUAUAUCACAACAUGGCAGAAGGUUAAAGGGGGAGUAGACAUGUGCAAAUAGGCAAAACCUGAGGGGCAUCUUGGCUUUAUAACAACCCACUCUUGGAGGACUAAUUCAUUCUUGAGAGAACUAAUCUGGUCUUGCCAGAGAAAAAAUUCACUCACUGCCUACUGUGAGAAUAGCACUAAGCCAUCCAUGAGAGUGGAGCCCCAUCACUCAAACACCUCCCAUUAGGCUCUACAGCUUACAGAUUAUACCUCCUAACAUUGCCACAGUGGGAAACAAAUUUCAAGAUGAGAUUUGGUGGGGACAGACCAUAUCUAAACAAAGAGUAAACAAGGGUAAACAACUUUUGAGAACAUACUUGUGAUCCUUUAUUUCAACCCAGAAUGAUGCCAGAAUUUUGGAGAUGGGGCUCAGAGCAAAUCAGUAAGUUACAAUUCUCAAGUUUCACAGGGAAGUGGGAGUGAGAGACACAUCAUGGAGGACCACGCGACUCUCAGUUACACUGGGUGAAUUGUCUUCAUUGAAUUCCCGCACCAUGCAGACUCAUUUAACGGUAGUUCUUCCAAAGCUGCUUUUCUGCUUUGCUUUUGGAAUACUACUUUAUCUAAAUUUUCAUCUACCCUUUCAAUUCCUAUGCUUCUUGUGUUGAUUUCUCUUUUCCGACUUCUCAGAUUUUUAAUCUCAUUUUUAAACAUGAGAAUUCUCUGAGGUCUAUUUCUUGACCCUUUGUCCUCUUUUUAACUAUCCCUUGGGAAACUUGCACAAUCUAAAUGACUAACUAGAACUUAUGAGAUUAUGAGCCAGAUCUCUCCCUGCUUAUGAGCCCAUUUCAAUUAGAUGUCUCAGCAUCAUUGUAAGUUAAAAUGCAUAAAAUCCAAAACAAUAAAUUUUUCUCAAACCAA
ensembl:lncRNA LINC02046 long intergenic non-protein coding RNA 2046